rnacentral:lncRNA from 1 species
GUGAUAUUACCGGCACCUGCAUGGAAAGUAACGCGGAGGUAUAAGUGGUGUGUUUUGUCGCUGUGGUUGCAGUUUUGUCUGGCGCAGCACACGGCCGGCUUCAUAAACUCUCGGUACAUUACAGGCUCUUUCCCCUGACGCCAAAAACGCGGAGACGCAGACGGAUUUCCUGCAGAGCCCCGCAGAAAGAAUCGGUUAUGGUUACCGCAGCGUCGGAAAUGCGAAAGGAGUGCAGGCUAAACCCUUAUUGGGCCCGAGCGUUGGAAUCCAGGUGAACACAACAAUAAAGUUAAUGAGAUCUACGGCACUUCAAGUGAACACUUUAAAAACUAUAAAACCAAUUAGGCGACUGUGCCGUACUUAUGUCAGCUAGGCAACCAGUCAUGCACCGGAGAAGUAGGCCAAUAAAGGAGCUCAGCCACGCUCCCUCACCUGGUGCAUCUCCAGUACUGCGAGAACCUCACAGGCAUGACGCAACGUACAAGCAGGAAUUUCACUUGCACCCCAGAUGUGACCUUUGACGAAUCACAAGCUAUACCGAAAUGGGAAUUUCCACUGGGAGAAGUCGAUGCAGUGAUGUCACUUGGAUGAAGGCGACAGUGGAUGUUUGUCGAAGGAAGAAUGCUGAGGAGAGGUGUAUGCUCAAAGAAGUACAGCACAAAAGACAGUGAUGAACAAGUCUGCUGCCCCUGGGGGAGGAAAGUGCAAAGUGCAUGUGUGAGACACGGAAUACUCAAUCACAUGGCAUCUUUGGAAAGCUCCGUAGAAAACCAUCCACUGACCUGAAGUGCCACAGCUGGGAAUCGAACCCAUAACCUCGUUCUCAACACCUCAACACCAUAUAGCCACUGCAGAUAGGCAAGGGGCCAACCUUCCUGCAGUGAUUCCUACUGGUACAGGCUGCACACACUCCAUUUCAACCUCCCAUUUCAAGUCAACGAUGAUCAAAGGAUUGUCACUCUCGGCCUAAGCUCGGAGCGAAUGAGCCGCACAUUCUUGUUAUCCAAGGAAGGUAUGGAAACAGCCCGAUACAGUUGUCAUAACUGACACGACACUCUGCAACACAAGCAAGCCUGUAGAAAUUGGUACGCUACAAUAAAGUGUGACUCUUGCC